GAAGAGAGGAGAUAAGGGCGGUGAUUGGGCAUAAGGGGAGCCACGCCCACCAUGCCAACGUUUCUGCGCAUGCUCCGCGCCUCGGCUUCUGGUAUUUUCGACGCGUUUGCGAGCGCCCGUCCAGUCCAGGUCUGGAGGUCGGAGAGGGAGUUCGAGAGCUUCCUUUUCUCAAGAGCAGCUUCGAAAAGCCUCUCUUUGUCCUCAACUUCGAAAGGAGGGCGUCUUUUGGUCCUUUACUUUCACUUUUGGUGUGGCGUCGGCGGCCUCUGGUGGCGCCGAGUGUCCGGGCAGGGAUACUCUGAGACAGAGGGAAGCUUGCAGUCUCGGGCCGAGAUGUCCCAGUACGUGAACGACCUGUGGCCGGGCUCGCCGCAGCACAAGGAGUCCCUCUCGACGUCUCGGUCGGUCAGGUCCAGCCGCCUGUCCUCGGCAUCCAGGAGCCGCUCGUCUUCCGGGAGCUCUCGGUCGCGCUCAGGCGGCUCGAGUCGGGCGUCGUCGCGGAGUCGGAGCCGGUCCUGGAGGAGGAGGAGGUCCAGGUCCUGGUCUAGGAGGCGCCACCAGAGGAAGUACAGGCGCUACUCGCGCUCCUACUCGCGCAGCCGGUCACGCUCCCGCGGCCGCCAGUAUCGCGACAGGCGCUACAGCGCGUCCAGAAGAUACGGCCGGUCGCCGUCGGGGCCCCGCUCCCGCAGCCGGUCCCGCUCGCGGGGACGUUCGUAUUAUCGACGGGCCUACGCGCUCCCGCGGGGGCGGCGAUACUACGGCUUCGGCCGCACCCUGUACCCGGAGGAACGCGGAAGUUGGAGGGGCGGGUCCCGGGGCAGGUCCCGGACCCGGUCGCGGAGCCCCACCCCUUUUCGCUUAAGUGAGAAAGAUCGAAUGGAGCUGUUAGAAAUAGCAAAAGCCAAUGCAGCAAAAGCUUUAGGAACCACUAACUUUGACUUGCCCGCUAGUCUCAGAAAAGUUCUUGCAUCUAAAGAGACGAACUGUGGAACAGCUGUACCAAACAGUGAUGCAAAGUUUGAGGUAAGUAUUCUAGGUUUAUCCAGAGUCUUCAGAAAGCUGCUAUUAGGAAAAUGUAAUUAGCCACUUUUUUUUUUUUAAUCUUAGAGUGCUUCUUGAAAAGCCUAAAUAUAAUUUAAGAUCAAAGUAGAAGCUCCAGAAAGGGUCUCUCCCCCAUGAUAAUGGGAAAUUAGUGAUCUUUAUUUUCAUAUGACACAAUACUAAUUAGUUUCAUAGUUGUAGGUGGUAUUUGGCAAUUCUGUGUAGCUAUUCAGUUUUUCUAACUAGCCUUUACAGAGUAUUUUAUCUGUAGCUUUCAUUUGCAGCAUUAUGUUCCCACAAAUUCUGUAUUCAACAUACAGUAUAGUUUAUCUGCUUUAUUUCUGUCUUAUAGAAAUCAUGAAUGUGGUCUCCAGACAUUGAUGAAGAAAAUCUGUUGCUGUCGGGAAAACUAGGAGAAGAUGGAACUAAAAAUCCCAGUGAAAAGCCUUCCCAGCAAAAAAGCAUAGCUUUUAGCUCUAAUAAUUCUGUAGCAAAGCCAGUGCUUCAGAAGUCUACUAAAGCUACUGCUGAAGAGACCUCUUCAGGAUCCCCCAAAAUAGAUAAGAA